UACGUAGGGGGCUAGCGUUGUUCGGAAUCACUGGGCGUAAAGGGCGCGUAGGCGGUUGUUCAAGCCGGGGGUGAAAUCCCGUGGCUCAACCACGGAAUGGCCUUUGAUACUGGACGGCUGGAGACCGGAAGAGGUGAGUGGAACUGCGAGUGUAGAGGUGAAAUUCGUAGAUAUUCGCAAGAACACCAGUGGCGAAGGCGGCUCUCUGGGCCGGUACUGACGCUGAGGCACGAAAGCGUGGGGAGCAAACAGG
rnacentral:rRNA from 1 species